GACGAACGCUGGCGGCGUGCUUAACACAUGCAAGUCGAACGGAAAGGCCCUGCUUUUGUGGGGUGCUCGAGUGGCGAACGGGUGAGUAACACGUGAGUAACCUGCCCUUGACUUUGGGAUAACUUCAGGAAACUGGGGCUAAUACCGGAUAGGAGCUCCUGCUGCAUGGUGGGGGUUGGAAAGUUUCGGCGGUUGGGGAUGGACUCGCGGCUUAUCAGCUUGUUGGUGGGGUAGUGGCUUACCAAGGCUUUGACGGGCAGCCGGCCUGAGAGGGUGACCGGCCACAUUGGGACUGAGAUACGGCCCAGACUCCUACGGGAGGCAGCAGUGGGGAAUAUUGCACAAUGGGCGGAAGCCUGAUGCAGCAACGCCGCGUGCGGGAUGACGGCCUUCGGGUUGUAAACCGCUUUCGCCUGUGACGAAGCGUGAGUGACGGUAAUGGGUAAAGAAGCACCGGCUAACUACGUG
rnacentral:rRNA from 1 species